CAGCUGAUUGUGGGAAAAAAAUUGGCGCCAAAUUACUUGUUUACAUUUUUACGUGGCGAUCGAGUAAAUUUGCUCAAAUAAAUUCGGCUAAAAAUGGAAAAUGAAGAUAAAGAAAAUUUAACUGCGUCCCCUGUGUUUCGUAGAAUAUAACAAAUGAACUGAGUUCUGCUGAGAAAAACUAACUAUGAAAGUUCGAGUUUUUGCAUAGCGAUCUCAUCGAUAUUUGGCGCAACAACAAUCGACAAAAAAAAUCUGUCUCACAUUGGAUUUACAGUAAAAUCAAUAACAACCAUUUGAAAAAUGAAAAAAAAGAGAAAUAGAUAAAAAAAUCAGUAAUUUUGAAUCCUUCAUUAAAAGAAACCUUCUGAAGUGCAACAAAAUGAUGGAAUGACGGUUUAUGACCACCCAUGCUAAAUGGAUGGCUUCUAAAAUAACAAUUAUUGUUGAUGAAAAUUGUAAGACACCAAAGAAAAUGGGACGUCCAACAUUACAUUAUACAAAUGCAGGGACAAGAUUAAAAAGGAAACUGGCGUCUGAUCUUGCAAAUGAUAAUAAUAAUAACACGAAUCUUCUUAUGCAUGCUGCGGCAGUUUCUGCUAAGAAAGAACGCAAGACCGACGUGGCUUUUGUCCUAACAAAAACAAUUAGAACACCUGAAUACCCGACUGAAUCGAAAAAGCAUCUUCAAUUGCAAAAGCCCAUUCCACUUUCACCAGAUGAAGCUUUAGCUUACCUCCUGGAAAAUUCACUCAACAAACAGCAGUAUACAAACACUAGGCUUUUAAAUAAAAGGCAUAACUGUGACAUUUAUCCUAGCUGUAAUAAAGUAAUGGAAGCUAAAUUACAGUGCCGACCAGAGUGCAUAGAAGUAAUGGAAACUACUGCUCGAGUGCCAUUACAAAAUCUUUUGGAUCAUACAGCACAUCGAAUAAUUAAAUUGCAGUCCGAUGUUUUCAAGCAGUUCCCGGAUGCAUCUGAAAUCAAAUUAAUCUGCAGCUACGGAUUUGAUGGCUCAACGGGUCAUAGUAUAUACAAGCAGAAGUUUUUAACUGAAAUACCUGGCAGUCAGCUUUCCGAUCAUUCUUUA